rnacentral:lncRNA from 1 species
AGAUUACAAUAAAUCAUGCCAUUCACACAAGUUCUUACAGGGAUUUAAUUGCAUCUUUGAAAGGUUUGGCAGAUACAUCAAGCCAGUUCAUUAAUGCACAGAUGAUUCCUUCACAUUAAGAAAGACACGUUGGAGCACCAUAAAUGUCAAGGCAGUUAUUACACACAAAAAGCAUAAAAUGGCAACCAUCAAAAGAUUCAUAGCCAAAAGGGACUUGCCUUAUCUCAGUUGAGGCUUUGGACUUGGAACUUUGAGGUAAGGCUGGAAUGACUUAAAAUCUUGGGGGUCUCUUGGAAGGCCAAGAUUGUGCUUUGAACUGUGAGGGCAUGAGAUUUGGGAGUGGCCAGGGUUGGAAUUAUAUAGUUUGGCUGUGUACCUACCCAAAUCUCAUCGUGAAUUGUAGUUCCUAUAAUCCCCACAUGUCAUGAGUGGGACCAAGUGGAGUUAACUGAAUCAUAGAGGUGGUUUCCCCCAUGCUGUUCUCCACGAUAGUGAGUUAGUUCUCACAAGGUCUGAUGGCUUUAUAAGGGGCUUCCACUUUCACUGGGCACUUACUUUUCCUCUCUGUCACCAUGUGAAGAAGGACAUGUUUGCUUCCCCUUCCACCAUGAUUGUACGUUUCCUAAGGUCUUCCCAACCUUGUGGAACGCUGAGUCAACUACACCAUUUUCUGUUUUUAAAUUACCCAGUCUCAGACAGUUCUUUAUAGCAGCAUGAGAAUGGACUAAUCCACAUACAAUAUGGUACUGAGUAUUUAAAAUAAUUUCUUAGAAUUUUUCUUAUAGUGAUGAAUAACUGACUUUUAUAACAAAGAAGUGGUUCAUGCUCAAUUGUACAAAAGCAUAAACUAAGCAAUACAUACAUUCUUCAUAUUACUUUGCCCUUGUCCCUCAAUACACUAUUUAAGUACUUUUGACUUUGUCCUAAGUAUACUGCCGUGUAAUGACUUAAGAUGACUUAAUUUUCAGAAUAUUUGUUCCUAUUUAAACCACUAAGUAAAUGUUCUUUGUACAGC